rnacentral:rRNA from 1 species
GACGAACGCUGGCGGCGUGCUUAACACAUGCAAGUCGAACGGAAAGGCCCUGCUUUUGUGGGGUGCUCGAGUGGCGAACGGGUGAGUAACACGUGAGUAACCUGCCCUUGACUUUGGGAUAACUUCAGGAAACUGGGGCUAAUACCGGAUAGGAGCUCCUGCUGCAUGGUGGGGGUUGGAAAGUUUCGGCGGUUGGGGAUGGACUCGCGGCUUACCAGCUUGUUGGUGGGGUAGUGGCUUACCAAGGCUUUGACGGGUAGCCGGCCUGAGAGGGUGACCGGCCACAUUGGGACUGAGAUACGGCCCAGACUCCAACGGGAGGCAGCAGUGGGGAAUAGUGCACAAUAGGCGGGAGCCUGAUGCAGCGACGCCGCGUGCGGGAUGACGGCCUUCGGGGGGUGAACCGCUUUCGCCUGUGACGAAGCGUGAGUGACGGUAAUGGAUAAAGAAGCACCGGCUAACUACGUG